rnacentral:rRNA from 1 species
AAAGCGAGCGGCGGAUGGGUGAGUAACACGUGGGGAACCUGCCCCUAAGUCUGGGAUACCAUUUGGAAACAGGUGCUAAUACCGGAUAAUAAAGCAGAUCGCAUGAUCAGCUUUUGAAAGGCGGCGUAAGCUGUCGCUAAGGGAUGGCCCCGCGGUGCAUUAGCUAGUUGGUAAGGUAACGGCUUACCAAGGCGACGAUGCAUAGCCGAGUUGAGAGACUGAUCGGCCACAUUGGGACUGAGACACGGCCCAAACUCCUACGGGAGGCAGCAGUAGGGAAUCUUCCACAAUGGACGCAAGUCUGAUGGAGCAACGCCGCGUGAGUGAAGAAGGUUUUCGGAUCGUAAAGCUCUGUUGUUGGUGAAGAAGGAUAGAGGUAGUAACUGGCCUUUAUUUGACGGUAAUCAACCAGAAAGUCACGGCUAACUACGUGCCAGCAGCCGCGGUAAUACGUAGGUGGCAAGCGUUGUCCGGAUUUAUUGGGCGUAAAGCGAGCGCAGGCGGAAAAAUAAGUCUAAUGUGAAAGCCCUCGGCUUAACCGAGGAACUGCAUCGGAAACUGUUUUUCUUGAGUGCAGAAGAGGAGAGUGGAACUCCAUGUGUAGCGGUGGAAUGCGUAGAUAUAUGGAAGAACACCAGUGGCGAAGGCGGCUCUCUGGUCUGCAACUGACGCUGAGGCUCGAAAGCAUGGGUAGCGAACAGGAUUAGAUACCCUGGUAGUCCAUGCCGUAAACGAUGAGUGCUAAGUGUUGGGAGGUUUCC